rnacentral:rRNA from 1 species
UACGUAGGGUGCGAGCGUUAAUCGGAAUUACUGGGCGUAAAGCGUGCGCAGGCGGUGAUGUAAGACAGGUGUGAAAUCCCCGGGCUUAACCUGGGAACUGCAUUUGUGACUGCAUCGCUGGAGUACGGCAGAGGGGGAUGGAAUUCCGCGUGUAGCAGUGAAAUGCGUAGAUAUGCGGAGGAACACCGAUGGCGAAGGCAAUCCCCUGGGCCUGUACUGACGCUCAUGCACGAAAGCGUGGGGAGCAAACAGGA